rnacentral:hammerhead_ribozyme from 1 species
AUUCAGCUGAUGAGUCCGAGAUACGACGAAACGCGCUUCCUGAAU